AUUGAAUAAGUGAAAACAGGUUCCUUGAAUCAUGUAUGUUCAAGGAUGAAAAGGGAAGCUCGGUGCAAAUCCGACACGGUCCCGCCACUGUAAAAGGGGAGUCAGACACAAACAACCACCACUGAUCCGUCAGGAUUGGGAAGGUGUGUUCUGAUGAAGAUCCUAAGUCAGGAGACCUGCCUGUUUUGACAACACUGC
rnacentral:ncRNA from 2 species